rnacentral:rRNA from 1 species
UACAGAGGUCCCCGAGCGUUUGUUCGGAUUCACUGGGCGUAAAGGGUGCGUAGGUGGCGAGGUAAGUCAGAUGUGAAAAUACCCCGAGCUUAACUUGGGUGCUGCAUUUGAAACUGGAUAUCUGGAGUGCAGGAGAGGUAAGUGGAAUUCCUAGUGUAGCGGUGAAAUGCGUAGAGAUUAGGAAGAACACCAGUGGCGAAGGCGACUUACUGGACUGUAACUGACACUGAGGCAUGAAAGCGUGGGUAGCAAACAGG